CCUACGGGUGGCUGCAGUCGAGAAUCUUCGGCAAUGGGCGAAAGCCUGACCGAGCGACGCCGUGUGUGGGAUGAAGGCCUUCGGGUUGUAAACCACUGUCGUAGAGGAGGUCUUACAUCAGGAGGAAGGACGGGCUAAAUACGUGCCAGCAGCCGCGGUAAUACGUAUCAUCCAAACGUUAUUCGGAAUUACUGGGCUUAAAGGGUACGUAGGCGGCGCUGUCAGUCGGGUGUGAAAUCCCACGGCUCAACCGUGGAACUGCGCCCGAUACUGCAGUGCUUGAGGGAGACAGAGGUAAGCGGAACUGAUGGUGGAGCGGUGAAAUGCGUUGAUAUCAUCAGGAACACCAGUGGCGAAAGCGGCUUACUGGGUCUCUCUGACGCUGAGGUACGAAAGCUAGGGGAGCGAAGGGGAUUAGAUACCCUUGUAGUC
rnacentral:rRNA from 1 species